CAGAGUGCCGGAGACGGGUGUUCCAUCCGGGACAUCGGUGGCACACGUGGGAGCAAAGUGUGCGCACGCGCACAGCACCCUGGGCCGUUUUUGCCCGCGUCGGGGCUGGGAGGCACCGGGAACCUAUCGCAGGCAGCUAAUCGCAGGUUUGCGUCUUUGCGAGUGAAUUCUCGUUUCCAGACGAGGAGCUCUGGGCCCGGUUAUCAGUCGUGGUCGCUGGUGCGGCCCAGCGGACCGUGGGGCGGACCCUGGAAGCAAUUCCACUGCAGGCGUCUUCUCGGUCCCCAGAAAGCAAAACGAUGGCACCGCCGUCGCCACCACCGCCCAAACCGGAAGUCGGGCACGCCCUGGUGACCUCGCCAUUGUCCUGAUCGUCACCGGCACCGCCGUCCCGCUCGCCUCGGCGGCCGUUGGACACUCGCGUGGCUGAGGGCUUGCAUGUGUAAUUUGCUUCUCCAGCAGUCGCACGAGAUCAGCUGUUACGAGUAUUCCCAUCAUGAGGAGUUUCCCAUUUUUUAAAGGGGGAGAAUCAAAGUUCAGACAGACUUCCCAAAGCCCAUACGGCCGUUCAAUGAUACAGCCAGAAUGGGAACCCGUAAGGCUCCGUCUGUGGCGUUGGGGCACAGAAGGGAAAAAAAAAAAAACAGAGAGAAAAGUUCUUGUUGCCUGAAGCUAACAUUUUAGUAGAAGAAUACAGACAGCUGAUAAAUAAGUUAAAUACAAAUAGAAUAGCAUCUACUACUAAGGGGUUAUAGGAACUAUGAAGAAAAGCAGAGGAGGAAACAGGAAUCUGGAGUACUAGAAAUGGGAUGAAGUUUUUUUUUUUUCCUCCUAAUUUAAACUUUUUGUCCCUCUCAUUAAAAAAAGAGAGAAAGAAAGAAAGAAAGAAAGAAAGAGAAAAAAAGAAAUAAUCUUACAGCAUCAGCCAAUGACCAGAGAGUAGCCAUUUUACAAGGCAGCUUCAGUAUUCAUUUUUUUCUUGGUUCUGUAUUUAGAAGACAUGUUUGUAUUUUUUCAGUGAAGACGCUUGAUUUUAGCAAAUUGCUUGAGGGGACAUACUUUAGGAUCAAAGAAACAGAUAUGGAAACAAAAGAAUCAGAAAUGAUAUCAUGUCAAGAAAGCAUGAGAGACUCGGAGUAGCCAAACUUGCAAUAGACAUACUGGACCAUAAAACAAUGACUUUCUUAAGAGAGACAAAGGACAUUUCAUAAUAAUGAAAUAUAUAUAUAUGUGUGUGUGUGUGUGUGUGUGUGUGUGUGUACACAUAUACUUAACAACAGAGUUCUAAGUUACUUGAAUCAAAAACAGAACAAUUCAGGGAGAAAUAGAAAACUCAACAGUAAUAAUUGCAGACACGAAUAGCCCACUUUAAAUACUGGACAAGACAAUUGGACAGAUUAUUGACAAGUUUAGGUAAGACUUGAGCACUAUAGAAACCAAUCAGAGCUAACAUACCACAGACACAACACUUUACCCGAAGAAAACAGAAUACAAAUUCUUCUCGAGCAUAAAUGGAGCACUCCAGAGGGUAACAUCCAUUCAAGCCUGUAAAACAAGACUUCUGAAUUUGAAAAUAUUGACAUAGAUAUGGAUGCAAGUAUAUUCUAAAAUUUCAAUAUAACUAGAAAUCACCAUGAGAAAGAAAUUUGAAAAAUUCGUAAGUAUGUGAAAAUUAUAAAAUAUGUUUCUUAAAAAAACAGUUGGUCAAAGAAGAGACUAGAAGAGAAAUUAUAAAAUAUUUUCGGAUACGUUAAAAUGAAAACAAAACAUACCAAACUUAUGAAAUGCAGUUAAAACUAUUUCAGAGAAAAUUUACAAUGGGAAAUGUUUGUAUUAAAAAAGAAAACAGACCUCAAAUCAAUAACCUACCAUUUUUUACCUUGAGACACUGAAAAGAAAAACAAAAUAAACCUUAAGAAAACAAGGAAGGAAGUAAAGAUCGGAGCAGGAAUUAAAGAAAUAAAGAAAAGAAAAACAAUAGAGAAAAUCAAGAAAAUGCAAAGUAAGCCCUUGGGAACGAUCAACACACUUGAUAUAUUUUCAGCAAGACAAACCAAGAAAAAAAGACAGAAGACAUGUACCAUCAAAAUUAGAAACAUAAGAGGGGACACUGGGGCUGACUUUACAGAAAUUCAGAAAGAUUGUGAUGAAAUACGACUAACAACCUACGCCAACAAAUUAGACAACUUGGAUGAAAAAGAGAAAUUCCUAGAAAUGCAAAACUACCGACACUGACUCAUAAAGAAAUACAAAAUGCAAACAUACCCACCACAGGAAAGUGUCGAAUUAUUCCUAUGAAAGCCUCCCAUGAAGGAAAGAGCAAAGCUAAAAUGGUUUCACUGCCCAACCGAAUUCGCAAUUCAGAUGGCGAAUUCCACCAAACAUCCCAGGAAGAAUUAAUACCAGUCCCUCACAAAAUCCUCCCAGAAAUCGAAGGAAGCACCACUCUCCAGCACAUGGUGUGCGUCUAGAAUUUUCCUGUUCCCAAACCAAAGGUACUUCAAUAAAAGAAAACUGCGGACCAAGAAAUCCUCAACAGCAUGCCAGCAAAUUUCAUCCAGCAGAACAUACAAGGGAUCGUGUGGAUUACCACCACCACGUGGGAUUUGUGUCGGGUAUGCAAGGUUCUUACGACAGCCAGAACCCAAUUAUGAUGCGUUGCAUUAAAAAAAUAAAGAACAAAAGCCACAUGACCAUCCAAAGAGACACAAGCAAAAAAAAAAGGGAAAGGAAAAAAAAAAAAAAAACAUUUGAGAAAACCCAACCUCUUUCGUGACAAAAACACUCAGAAAUUAGACACAGGAAGGAACUUUCUUAACCCAGCAAAGGGCAUGUAGGAAAAUGCCACAGCUAACACGUUCACACUGAAUGACUGACAGCUUUAAGACGAGGAGCACAUCGGCCCAUCAAGGCUGCCCGGUUUCACCAGGCUGUCCCACAUUGUAUUGGAAGUUCUAGCCAGAACAAUCAGGCGAGAAAAAGAAACAAAAGGCAACCAAAUUGGAAAGCGCAGCCACUUUACAAAACAGUUGGCCAAUUUCUCAAAAUGCUAAAUAUAGGGAAAUCAGAUGACUUUCUAAAUCCACACCCCCAAGUAUCUCUCUAAGAGAUUUGGAAACAAACAUCCACGUAAACAUCCUUCCCUGUCCCCGAAUGUUGAUAGUAGCAUUUUUCGUAACAGUCAAAACAUGGAGACAGCUCAAAUGUCCAUUGUCUGAUCCUGGAUAGGUAAUGCGGAUAUCACGUACAAUGGAAUAGUAUUCUCCAAUAAAAAAUGAAACGCAGAUGCAAGCUGCAGCAUGAAAAAACCUUGAAACGUUAUGCCUAGUGAAAGAAGCCAGUCACAAAGACCGUGUAUGGUAUGAUUCUAUUUAUAUGAAAUGCCCAGUGUAUGCAAAUGUAUGGAAUCAAAAUACGGAUUAGCGUGCCCAGAGCUCGGGGAAUUUGGCAGAAAAGAGUAAGUCUCUUGCUACCACAUCCAGGGAACAACUGAAUUUUAUUACAGAGUGGAUUUAUUGUUUAUAGAUUUAUUAUACGUAAAUUGAAUUACGCAGAUCCCAGAUCUGCAUUGCCUGCUGUCCAAGAUCUGACCGUAUUUGCAUCUGAAAGUUUUCCAGUUUUCUAGCUCUUUGCUUGAGAGAAGAAAAAUCUUCAACUCUUCUAGUCAGAACCAACGACCUCACUCGCAAUUUUCAAGCAAUCACCCUCCAGUACACGUCCACAGACACAGAAACUUCUUAACAUGUCCAAGGACACACCGUGUGACCUGACCUCUGGAAUGGCUUACUUGGCAUCGUGUUUCCUUGGAAGUGGGACUCACUCCCCUGACUCAGGACCUAGGUACGUGCUGUGCCUUCAGUGUAAAAAGGGCCCCCUCUGUGUUCUCCCAGCUGGCUCCUUUUAUGUCGUCUGGUCGCAUUUUAAAUGUUACGAUCCCAGGGAUGUCCUCCUGACCACCCACCACAUCUUGUGUUUUCCCUUUCACGCUGUCCUAUUUUCCUCCCCAAAGUCCCGAUUACGUACAUUUGAUAUUUUACUCUUUUAUUAUAGAUGUGUGCUGAUCACUCUGCCUCAGAAGAGCAGAAUGGUAUCUGUCCUGCCCUCUAACAUAUCGAGCAAGGGGCUGGCAGAUAGCAAUUACUCGAUAUGUAUUUGUUCAAUGAACACACAAAGUAAUUCGCCUAUCUUCACUCUCCAGGGUCAGCGGGGUGUGCAGUAUUUUUCCCUUGACCUUUUUGUCAUCUCCCUCGAUGUGGAAGAAGCUGGAAAGCCCGCACACAAGAUCUACUGUCUGUGCCCCAUCCACAGUUUCAACUCUAUGCGUCCUUUCCGUCCCAUAUAAGGGGCCAGGUUUCAAAGGACAGACGAAGACAUGACGACAGGUCACGGAUAAGACAAAAGACCCAGGCUGUCAGGUGCCUUUCAGGUGUUGUAGCCCUUCAGGGAUAGGUUGCCUUGCCCACGCUUUUGAGAGCGCCUCCAAGCCCAGGGCCUGUGAAAGUCUCACGUAACGCCCUCUACAUGUUAGGGCCUCCAGUCUUUCUACAGAUGUUAUCGCAAUCAACUGCUCUCAGGUUGCCCUGUGGAUAGGGUUGGUAUUGUAUCUGUCUUGCAGAUUAAAUAAAUAGCUGAGUCAAAAGCAUCCUUGCUUUAGGCACGUUUAUGCCCGAGGUUCGUCGUUCGACCCUCUUGUGGAUGAAGGACAUCACGAAAAGGGGUCUGUACGCCUUCUCUUCACACAGAUUCCUGUACAACCUGUGCUGCUCAGCACCAAGAACUGGGCUGACAUUAAGGGCAUUUCCUUUGUCCCCAGUUCUUCCUAUAUUGCAAGGCCAAAGAUUGUACCGCUAAAAUAUCCCCUGUAAAAAUCACAUAAUGCGCUGAGACCUGCCCCCUGAAAAGAGUGUGUUUCCUCGGCCUCACAACAUCCUUGACAAACUGCUCAAGGUGGGGUGAGGCACGGGGUCUCAGAGGCAGGCUGCUGUUAGCACUCGGCCAGCCAUAAAUUAAGUGCCUGCAUGCCAAGUGGGUGUCCUGUCGGAAGAGUCACAGACACGACCGGUCUCUGCCACAGAUCUUGGGAAAAAAAAAAAAAAAGAAAGUCGCAUAAACAAUAUCAUUUAUGAGCUCCGAAAGUGAGGCAGGCAUGUAAAAACAUCGGGGGGAGAAAGGGAGAAAUGGGAAAAUGCUACAGUAGUGUUAUCUUUGAGAGGGAAAAAAAAUGCACUGUAUCCCAAUUGUCUCCAAAAUUAUGCAACCAAAGGAAAGGAGCCUGUCAAAUCCCUUCCUAAUUAAAUGCAUACAUUUGUUCCUUUUCAAAAAUGGCCACACGCCCCAUCUGCUAGUGCAGAAUGCUUGGGUUUUUCAGCCAAUAUCCUCACGCUAAACUGUGCUGCAGAGUCGAGGGGCACAGGGGCCCUGGGCGCUCAGAGCAGCUCCCUGAAAAGAGGUAAAAGAAUUUCUGUUUGCACUUGAGUUAUUUAUCUACACUUUUAUGACGAGAAGACGGAAUAUUGAGGGAAAGUUAAAUCAUCGGAGGGUUCAAGCUGCAGGCACGGCUCUGACAGGCUGACGAGCAUUUUUAGGGGUAUGAUAAUUUGGUCGAAAAGCAGUGAUUCUUUUUAACAGCUCAUAUUAAAUCAGAGGAGUCGUUAACUUGAGCCACUCAAAAAAAGUCUGAGGCACCUCACGCACAUUUUCCGCGGCACGCACGUUUACUCCGUGGGUUAGUUGCCUUUGUUCUGGGCUACCGUACAGGACCCACGGUGAGCCCUUCUGCCCCCCCGAAGGACGCGGAAACGUUGCUCUACGUGAUCCCCUCGUCAUUGUGACCUUCUCCAGACACCUCUGUACGUUCUAAUGUGACCUCCCUCCCAGCUUCGGAUCAGGUGCAACCCUGUGAGUCCCACAAUGCCGGUUCUCCAGAGCCAAAUCCUUCCUUCCACCUUCCUUCCUUCCACCUUCCUUCCUUCCACCUUCCUUCCUUCCUUCCUUUGUUUCUUCCUUCCUUCCACCUUCCUUCCUUUGUUCCUUCCUUCCUUCCCUCCUUCCUUCCUUCAUGCUUCUCCGUCCACAAACACUCAACAUUUUUGAGAUCUCUCAAAAUCUCUCCAAAUCUCUCAAAAAAUUGAGAGAUUCUUAUUCUCUCAAGCCAAACGCUGUGCAAAAGCUCAAAUCUCUUCUUCCUCUGGAUUCCAGGUCCUCGUUACAUGAGUCAUUCAACCCAUCAGCACAUCGUAAUUCAUCUUGCAUAUGGUUUGAUUGUUCCCAUGUAAAAUUUGUGUUGAUGUAUGAAUUUUAAUAAAUCUGUAACUACAUAAGAUUGCAUCAGGCAAACUCUAACUGUUUAGGGUUAUAAUUGUUAUUAUCAAUAAUAAAAUCUAUAGUGAGUGCUCAGGAAUCUGGCUGGAAGAUUAUUCUUGCUUCUAGUAGACGCUGCUGGAUAAACUUUCAGGCAAUUUUGUCCGAGUAAGCUGCCUGUCUUGUUAUCCAAUUACACACACUCACAGGCAGCACGACGUCUCCUUGACGUGCCUGAGCGUUAGAGCCCCUUCCGCGAAUGGCAUCGCCCUCCCCGCUCCCUUCAAAAGUUAAUAUCACAUGCAUGUUUUGGAAAUAAAAGCUUUCCACGUUGCUACAAAAGGCAUAUUUCAUUCUUUCUCAUUGCCAAGUAGUAUUCCAUGGUGUAUAUAAACCACAAUUUCUUUAUCCAUUCAUCAGUUGGUGGACAUUUAGGCUCUUUCCAUAAUUUGGCCAUUGAUAGCCUUUUGUAGCAACGUGGAUGGAACCACAGAGUGUUAUGCUAAGUGAAAUAAGUCAUACAGAGAAAGACACAUACCAUAUGUUUUCAUUCUUAUGUGGAUCCUGAGAAACUUAACAGAAGACCAUAGGGGAGGGGAAGGGGGGGG